UGGGGGAUAUUGCACAAUGGAGGAAACUCUGAUGCAGCGAUGCCGCGUGAGGGAAGAAGGUUUUCGGAUUGUAAACCUCUGUGGAGCGGGACGAUAAUGACGGUACCGCUCAAGGAAGCCACGGCUAACUACGUGCCAGCAGCCGCGGUAAUACGUAGGUGGCAAGCGUUAUCCGGAAUUACUGGGUGUAAAGGGAGCGCAGGCGGGAUAGCAAGUCAGCUGUGAAAACUAUGGGCUCAACCCAUAAACUGCAGUUGAAACUGUUAUUCUUGAGUGGAGUAGAGGCAAGCGGAAUUCCGAGUGUAGCGGUGAAAUGCGUAGAUAUUCGGAGGAACACCAGUGGCGAAGGCGGCUUGCUGGGGCUCUAACUGACGCUGAGGCUCGAAAGUGUGGGGAGCAAACAGGAUUAGAUACCCUGGUAGU
rnacentral:rRNA from 1 species